UACGUAGGGUGCAAGCGUUGUCCGGAAUUAUUGGGCGUAAAGGGCUCGUAGGCGGUCCGUCACGUCGGCUGUGAAAACCCGGGGCUCAACCCCGGGCCUGCAGUCGAUACGGGCGGACUAGAAUUCGGUAGGGGAGACUGGAAUUCCUGGUGUAGCGGUGAAAUGCGCAGAUAUCAGGAGGAACACCGGUGGCGAAGGCGGGUCUCUGGGCCGAUAUUGACGCUGAGGAGCGAAAGCGUGGGGAGCGAACAGG
rnacentral:rRNA from 1 species